rnacentral:rRNA from 1 species
AUCAAUAAGCGGAGGAAAAGAAACUAACAAGGAUUCCCUCAGUAACGGCGAGUGAAGCGGGAAGAGCUCAAAUUUAAAAUCUGGUUUGCUUGCAAGCCCGAGUUGUAGUCUGAAGAAACGUUUUCCAUAAGCACUGAGGCAAAAGUCCCUUGGAACAGGGCAUCAUAGAGGGUGAGAAUCCCGUCCAUGGUCUCAAGUUGUUUAUUUUGUGAUACGUUUUCAAAGAGUCAGGUUGUUUGGGAAUGCAGCCUAAAAUGGGUGGUAAAUUUCAUCUAAAGCUAAAUAUUGGCGAGAGACCGAUAGCGAACAAGUACCGUGAGGGAAAGAUGAAAAGAACUUUGAAAAGAGAGUUAAACAGUACGUGAAAUUGUUGAAAGGGAACCGUUUGAAGCCAGUCUUACUUGCCUGUGAUCAAUUUUUGCCUCGGCAUGAAUGCACUCUCGGGUAUGGUAGGCCAACGACAGUUUGGAAUGCGAGAAAAAAAUAAGGGAAAUGUGGCCUUCGGGUGUUAUAGUCCCUUAUAAAAUAUCGUGUUCUGGACUGAGGAUCGCAGCAAAAAYGUGGGCAGGUGGAUUUCUGUGGUAACUGUCGGUUAGGACAACUUGUUGACCUAGUCUUCCUUAGCCUCACUAUUUACCUCGCUUCUAAUUUGCUUAGGUCGUUGGCAUAAUGGCUUUAAAUGAC